GACGAACCGGACAAACGUUAUUCGGAAUUACUGGGCUUAAAGGGUUUGUAGGCGGCCUUGUAAGUCAGGUGUGAAAUCCCUCGGCUCAACCGAGGAAUAGCGCUUGAUACUGCAAGGCUUGAGGGAGACAGGGGUAAGCGGAACUGAUGGUGGAGCGGUGAAAUCCGUUGAUCCAUUGAAGACCACCAGUGGCGAAGGCGGCUUGCCAGAACGCGCUCGACGGUGAGGGAUGAAAGCUGGGGGAGCAAACCGG
rnacentral:rRNA from 1 species